AAUAACAAAAGAAGAGAGAGAGAGAAAGAGAGAGAGAUAUUUAUGCGUCUGAUCACAUUUUCGCAAAGGAAAUAUUUGCUUCGGAGUUUGUUUGAAGAAUCUCUGAUCGAAAGGGAAAACACGAGGGUCUCUCGUGAGAGGGAGAUAGAGGAUUCCUAUCGUCAUUAGAUAAGCUAAGUGCAAGCCUAUAUAUAUAUGUGGCAAACCGAUUUCAUUCGUCGAGAAUGAUCGCAGACUUCGAGAGCGUGAUGCGCGCAGCUAUACUGGGUAUAAGCAACAGACGCCAGCAUGGCAAGAGUCAGUUCGCGUCCGGCACGCGACCGAUGAGGUCGGUUGUUCUUCGUGUGGUAAAGAUCUUUUUGAACUUUGUAUCGACGUUUCUCUACGGCCUUGAAAUAUCAGGACAGUUGUCGGAAGCAAUUCCAUUUGAUUCCAACAGUUAAUUCGUGAUUAGCUGUGAUGUAGAGUCCUCGCGCGACUCGCAAACUUCGACGUUUGCUCGUGUGUGAACGUGAGCGGUACUCCGAUGCCAGCGCACUAAAGUUCAAAUGUUUAACAAUCUAAUGACAAACUGUCGUUGAGUGCUUCCGUGAAGGGUGCUCCCGCGAGACCUCGAGUCAUAAAUGCAGGAUGGUUAAAUCCAAUCGAUCGCUGUGCGCGUUUGAUCGAUAUUUUCACGUAGUCGUGUGAGUGUGUACAUCGAGAUUGUGUCAUUUCAAAAAAGAAAACAAUGUGUUUUAUGAAUAUCCUAAGAGCAAUUAUUAGAUAUAUAUCUAAUAAUUGCCAGGCUCUUCUCCAUAUAAUACAUGGAAAUUGGUCCUGAUGAAAUGAGUCAGUUAUAACAUAUGUUCUAACUUAUAAUGUGUUUUAGAAAGUACACGGGCGUACGUAUGGCUUAAAUAACGGAUAAUUCAUUUUACCGAGAGAUUCAAUUUUUCAUAUUAAUUAUUGCGAGGUCCUUUCUAUAAAGAAAAGGGUCAAACAUUGAUAGCUUACGUAAAAAAAGAAGACUUCUUUUCGUAUUAAAAGUAAUCUGAGAUGUUUUCCAUCUUCCAUCGGCUUUAUUAGUUUUCUAUAUAUAU